rnacentral:rRNA from 1 species
UACGAAGGGGGCUAGCGUUGCUCGGAAUCACUGGGCGUAAAGGGUGCGUAGGCGGGUCCUUAAGUCAGAGGGGAAAUCCUGGAGCUCAACUCCAGAACUGCCUUUGAUACUGAGGAUCUUGAGUUCGGGAGAGGUGAGUGGAACUGCGAGUGUAGAGGUGAAAUUCGUAGAUAUUCGCAAGAACACCAGUGGCGAAGGCGGCUCACUGGCCCGAUACUGACGCUGAGGCACGAAAGCGUGGGGAGCAAACAGG